rnacentral:tRNA from 1 species
GAGCCACGGGCUCGUUCGGUUAGAGCGUUAGACUUCAGAUCAAAAAAUCACGGGUUCGAGCCUCGGGUGGUGCA